rnacentral:rRNA from 1 species
AUGACUAUAAGGAACCAACGAUUCUCUCUUCUUAAACAACCUAUAUACUCCACACUUAAUCAGCAUUUGAUAGAUUAUCCAACCCCGACCAAUCUUAGUUAUUGGUGGGGGUUCGGUUCGUUAGCAGGUAUUUGUUUAGUCAUUCAGAUAGUGACUGGCGUUUUUUUAGCUAUGCAUCACACACCUCAUGUGGAUCUAGCUUUCAACAGCGUAGAACACAUUAUGAGAGAUGUUGAAGGGGGCUGGUUGCUCCGUUAUAUGCAUGCUAAUGGGGCAAGUAUGUUUCUCAUUGUGGUUCACCUUCAUAUUUUUCAUGGUCUAUAUCAUGCGAGUUAUAGCAGUCCUAGGGAAUUUGUUCGGUGUCUCGGAGUUGUCAUAUUCCUAUUAAUGAUUGUGACAGCUUUUAUAGGAUAUGUACCACCUUGGGUAGGCGCCUGUCUUCUUCAUCUGGCCGCAUUGCAUCAAUAUGGAUCAAAUAAUCCAUUGGGUGUACAUUCUGAGAUGGAUAAAAUUGCUUCUUACCCUUAUUUUUAUGUAAAGGAUCUUGUAGGUCGGGUAGCUUCUGCUAUCUUUUUUUUCAUUUGGAUUUUUUUGCUCCUAAUGUUUUGGGGCAUCCCGACAAUUAUAUACCUGCUAAUCCGAUGCCCACCCCGCCUCAUAUUGUGCCGGAAUGGUAUUUCCUACCGAUCCAUGCCAUUCUUCGCAGUAUACCUGACAAAGCGGGAGGUGUAG